rnacentral:rRNA from 1 species
GACCAGACUCCUACGGGAGGCAGCAGUGAGGAAUAUUGGUCAAUGGGCGAGAGCCUGAACCAGCCAAGUCGCGUGAGGGAGUACUGCCCUAUGGGUUGUAAACCUCUUUUGUCGGGGAGCAAAAGCCGGACGUGUCCGUCUGUGAGAGUACCCGAAGAAAAAGCAUCGGCUAACUCCGUGCCAGCAGCCGCGGUAAUACGGAGGAUGCGAGCGUUAUCCGGAUUUAUUGGGUUUAAAGGGUGCGCAGGCGGGCUGUUAAGCCGGCGGUAAAAAUUCAGGGCUCGACCCUGUCGAGCCGUCGGAACUGGCAGUCUUGAGAUGUCGAGAGGUAUGCGGAAUGCGCAGUGUAGCGGUGAGAUGCUUAGAUAUUGCGCAGAACUCCGAUUGCGAAGGCAGCAUACCGGCGGCGAUCUGACGCUGAGGCACGAAAGCGUGGGUAUCGAACAGGAUUAGAUACCCUCGUA